rnacentral:lncRNA from 1 species
CUUUUUUUAAAAAAACUAUUUUAAUUUUUCUUAGUUGUAGUUGGACACAAUAUCUUUAUUUUAUUUAUUUUUAUGUGGUGCUAAAGAUCGAAUCCAGCACCUCACACAUGCUAGGCAAGUGUUCUACUGCUGAGCACAACCCCAGACCCGGGAUAUACUUAUUUUAUAUACUACUGUGCAGUAACCCUACUGUAGCACCACUCAGGUAUGCCAUGUUAGAUUUCAUUCAUUCGUUCAUUCAAGAAAUAUUUGUUGAGCAUAUGCUAUAUGUCAGACCCUACAUUGGGUGCAGAGAUCCAUAAAAAGAAAAAUAAUGACCCUUGGCCUUGAGGAACAUCAAAUAGAUAAAAUACUCCAGUGGAGUUGUGACAAUAGCACGGGCUGUCUGGGACUUCAAAGAGGAAGAACCAUUAGAGAUAUGAUCAUCGGAGUAUAGAAUGCAAGGGAGGAUGAACACAAUUUAGAUGUGCCCCAAGGCCAUCCACCAUAGCCACAAAUUGACUUAAAUGUUUCUCUGAUUUCACAGAUAGCUCCUAUCAUAAGUGAAACACAGACAUAAACUUUAUUCCUAGUCAGCAUGAUCCAAUGAAAUUAGGUACAGACAAAUCAGCUUAAAUAGGUCUACUUGCUCUAAAAAGAAUGUUAACUGUGUAAGAGCCAAUGACAAUACAGGUCAAGUACUUACUCCUGUGAGCUGUGUGAACUGCUAUAACUGAUGUGACCCACGCUCCUUACGACUCCAUUUAUGGUUGGUGGUCUCCUGGUUUGAGAACUAUUUUGUGUG